UCUCUCCGUACGGGAAGGAUGAGAAGCUUCGACUAAGGUUCGAUUCGAGCGCAGCGAGAACGCGUUGCCGCAGGCAACGACCCGAAGGGCGAAGCGCGCAGCGCUGAGUCAUCCUUCCCCCACCACCA
rnacentral:sRNA from 3 species